rnacentral:lncRNA from 1 species
CUUGAGCGAACAUUCAUUUAUUCAGGCAUUUCGACGCUUUGUUAGCCGUAAAUCUUUGCCUAAAAUUCUAGUAUCUGACAAUGCAACUACAUUCAUUGCAGGAUCUGCAGAAAUAAAAAGAUUAUGUGAAUCGGAUAUAGUAAAAGAUACUUUAUCAACACACGGUGUCGGAGUGGAGAUUUAUACCGAAACGUGCACCUUGGUAUGGUGGAUUCUGGGAGCGCUUGAUUGCUCUGACGAAGACAAGUUUGAAGAAAGUGCUUGGACGAUCCCAAGUAAACAUGGAAACACUUCAAACAGUUGUUACGGAAAUAGAAACUAUCUUAAAUGACAGACCGCUAACAUAUCCAUCGUCCGAUAUCAAAGACUGUGAAGCUUUAACUCCGUCUCAUCUACUAUACGGAAGGCGCAUUUCAACAUUACCGUACCCGCAAUCAGAAAUUGAGAAUAUCCUAGACCCGACUUACAUGGGACAUAAAGAUCUUAAUAAAAGUGUAUACAGACAAACGCAAUUGAUUCAACAUUUCUGGAAAAGAUGGAAAUCCGAAUACCUUACGUCUUUACGUGAAUUUCAUAGGACAAUCGGAAAAAAUGAACAAUUAAUAAAUACAGGAGACAUCGUACAAAUUCACAACGAAUGUCCGAGGAUAAACUGGAAAAUUGGGAUCGUAACCGAACUAGCCAGAGGUAAUGAUGGACUUGUAAGAUCAGCACGAAUAAGGACCAGCACAGGAGAAACUACAAGACCGAUCGCAAAAUUAUAUCCGUUGGAAGUAACACAAACGAUGACAAACAAUUCUAACUGUUUUCAAUUGGUGAACAGGAACAUAUGGAGGACAGACCGAAACGAAAAGCUAGUCUAAAAGCCCGCGAGACGAUACAGAAGUGGAUUCACCAGUGAUGUUAGCGAUGAACAUUACAAUUACACGUUUUUAGUUUGAAUUUUAUUUUAUUUCAUGAGAGACUUUAAUUGAAUUUAAUCGCUAAAUGUAAUUUCCGUUUUUAUAUGAUUUGCUCAGUAUUACAAAGAAAAACACAACGCGAGAGACAAUUUCAAAGUGAUAUUAUUU